UGUAAAGUGUAUUGUAAUGUAAAGUGUAUUGUAAUGUAAAGUGUAUUGUAAUCUAAAGUAUAUUGUAAUGUAAAGUCUAUUGUAAUGUAGUGUUUUGUUAUUUCAGGUGUCCUGGCCCAGGAGAACAUAGUGGGAGACCCUCAUGCUCAGGGAUCCUCCUACAUCGCUGCUUCCUAUGUAAAGUACCUGGAGAGUGCUGGAGCCAGGGUUGUCCCCAUAAGAAUAAACAGAAUCGAUGAAGAGUAUGAGAAGAUAUUUAACUCAAUAAACGGGCUGCUGCUACCAGGUGGGGGUGUAGAUCUGCAGACUUCCCAGUUCAGUCGUCUGUCAAAGAUUUUCUGUGAUCUGGCUAUCAAGACCAACUGAUUACUUCCCCAUAUGGGGCAUGUGCCAGGGCCUUCAGCAGAUGACAGUACUGACCAGCAACAAGAACCUUCUGACUCCGACAGAGACCAAGGCUGUGGCCCUGCCUUUCACAUUCACCCCAGCUUCCAUGAAAAGCCGCCUGUUCAAGGCCUUUCCCAGAGACCUGCUCCUGUCUCUGUCAGAAGACAACAUCACCUCCAAGUUCCACAGCUGGAGUCUAUCGCUACAGCGAAUCGCUAUCCGUUCUAUGCUGUCCAGUGGCACCCUGAGAAGAGUCCCUUUGAGUGGGUAGAUAAACCAGGCAUGGUCCACUCUGCUGCCUCCGUCAGAGCAUCCUUCUACACAGCACACUUCUUUGUCUCCGAGGGUGAGUUAUUUUAGUCCACUUUCCUUUAACCAGGCAAAUCAGUUAAGAACAAUUUCUUAUUUGCAACGGUGGCCUGGUGAGUGACUGUAGAUUAGUUAUUGGAUUGUACAACUCUGGCCUGGUGAGUGACUGUAGAUUAGUUAUUGGACUGUACAACGCUGGCCUGGUGAGUGACUGUAGAUUAGUUAUUGGACUGUACAACGCUGGCCUGGUGAGUGACUGUACAACUCUGGCCUGGUGAGUGACUGUAGAUGACAGUCCAGUAAUUGGAUUGUACAACUCUGGCCUGGUGAGUGACUGUAGAUGACAGUCCAGUAAUUGGAUUGUACAACUCUGGCCUGGUGAGUGACUAUAGAUGACAGUCCAGUAAUUGGAUUGUACAACUCUGGCCUGGUGAGUGACUAUAGAUGACAGUCCAGUAAUUGGAUUGUACAACUCUGGCCUGGUGAGUGACUAUAGAUGACAGUCCAGUUGUUGGAUUGUACAACUCUGGCCUGGUGAGUGACUGUAGAUUAGUUAUUGGAUUGUACAACUCUGGCCUGGUGAGUGACUGUAGAUUAGUUAUUGGAUUGUACAACUCUGGCCUGGUGAGUGACUGUAGAUUAGUUAUUGGACUGUACAACGCUGGCCUGGUGAGUGACUGUAGAUGACAGUCCAGUAAUUGGAUUGUACAACUCUGGUCUGGUGAGUGACUAUAGAUGACAGUCCAGUUGUUGGAUUGCACAACUCUGGCCUGGUGAGUGACUGUAGAUGACAGUCCAGUUGUUGGAUUGUACAACUCUGGCCUGGUGAGUGACUGUAGAUGACAGUCCAGUUGUUGGAUUGUACAACUCUGGCCUGGUGAGUGACUGUACAACUCUGGCCUGGUGAGUGACUGUACAACUCUGGCCUGGUGAGUGACUGUACAACUCUGGCCUGGUGAGUGACUGUACAACUCUGGCCUGGUGAGUGACUGUACAACUCUGGCCUGGUGAGUGACUGUACAAACCUGGCCUGGUGAGUGACUGUAAAUGACAGUCCAGUUGUUGGAUUGUACAACUCUGGCCUGGUGAGUGACUGUACAACUCUGGUCUGGUGAGUGACUGUAGAUGACAGUCCAGUUGUUGGAUUGUACAACUCUGGCCUGGUGAGUGACUAUAGAUGACAGUCCAGUAAUUGGAUUGUACAACUCUGGCCUGGUGAGUGACUGCAGAUGACAGUUCAGUUAUUGGACUGAUGUGAUUUCAAGUCUUGAGAACUUUGUGUGGUUUAAAAAACAAAUAAAACGUUUAUUUAAAUGUACUACCAUUGGAUGUUAUGAUGCAGUGUUUUAUUAAUGGGAAAAUAUGUAAAUUCUCCCAUCUUCCAUGUAAAAACCAUUACAACAACAUGGCUGGAACAUCUGAAAAUAUAACGAAACUGCCUGCACAAAUCUGUAUGAAAUCAGGGUUUUUUUCUGCACAGAAAAGUUCUGGCCUAAAGGUUUUUUCAGUCCGCCUAUCUCCAAUAAUUCCCGGAAUGGUAAAACGUUUUUGAGUGUAAACUUAAAACAACUUAAACCAGAUCUAAAGUUUAUUGGAAAGAUAGCAGACUUAUAUAUUUAUCUAUAAGAACUUAACAAUCACCACAAUAACAGUCAGGGAGAAUUUUAAAUUCCCAAAUUGAUGCAUUCAGGAGUAUUUUUGUCAUGGCAUGGGGCCCCCAUUGAUUUUGUUAUCGUUUUUUGAGUCACUCACAUAGCACAAGCCAUGUCAAAUUGUUUUUAUAACUGAAACAUUUUAUCUCCGUUACAUGGCAAAAUGUGAAGAAUUUGCUUUAUAACAGUCACACCCACCACCUAAGCCCCAUUUGGAUCCAGAAAAAACUCUGGAAAUACAUUGAUAGCACAUUUUAGUGCUACCACAAUAGUGUUUUUUAUUGUUUACUCACCCAUGUGUCAAACUAAUGCUGCUAUUUCUAUUGACUUGGCCAAAGCUUUUGAUACGGUAGACCAUUCUAUUCUUGUGGGCCAACUAAGGAGUAUUGUUGUCUCUGAGGGGUCUUUGGCCUGGUUUGCUAACUACCUCUCUCAAAGAGUGCAGUGUAAAAAGUCAUAGAAUCUGCUGUCUCAGCCACUGCCUGGCACCAA